rnacentral:rRNA from 1 species
GGUUACUGCUAUCGAGGUUCGACUAAGCCAUGCGAGUCGAAUGUAGCAAUACAUGGCGAACUGCUCAGUAACACGUGGACAACCUGCCCUUAGGUUGGGUAUAAACCCGGGAAACUGGGUAUAAUACCCGAUAGGUCUCGAUUGCUGGAAUGCAUCGAGAUUUAAAGCUCCGGCGCCUAAGGAUGGGUCUGCGGCCUAUCAGGUAGUAGUGGGUGUAGCGUACCUACUAGCCUACGACGGGUACGGGUUGUGAGAGCAAGAGCCCGGAGAUGGAUUCUGAGACACGAAUCCAGGCCCUACGGGGUGCAGCAGGCGCGAAAACUUUACAAUGCUGGCAACAGCGAUAAGGGAACCUCGAGUGCCAGGUUACAAAUCUGGCUGUCGAGAUGCCUAAAAAGCAUUUCAUAGCAAGGGCCGGGCAAGACCGGUGCCAGCCGCCGCGGUAACACCGGCGGCUCGAGUGGUAACCGUUAUUAUUGGGUCUAAAGGGUCUGUAGCCGGCCGGAUAAGUCUCUUGAGAAAUCUGGCAGCUUAACUGUCAGGCUUUCAGGAGAUACUGUCUGGCUCGAGGCCGGGAGAGGUGAGAGGUACUUCAGGGGUAGGGGUGAAAUCUUGUAAUCCUUGAAGGACCACCAGUGGCGAAGGCGUCUCACCAGAACGGACCUGACGGCAAGGGACGAAAGCUAGGGGCACGAACCGGAUUAGAUACCCGGGUAGUCCUAGCCGUAAACGAUACUCGCUAGGUGUCGGCCACGGUGCGACCGUUGUCGGUGCCGUAGGGAAGCCGUGAAGCGAGCCACCUGGGAAGUACGGCCGCAAGGCUGAAACUUAAAGGAAUUGGCGGGGGAGCACCACAACGGGUGGAGCUUGCGGUUUAAUUGGAUUCAACGCCGGG